GUCAACGAUCUUUAUAAAGUUGUUUGAAGCGUCUAUGAUAAACAGAGAGCAAAUUAGAAUGCUGGGAAGUUGACAUGUCGUCACUUCAUUUUUUUGCGCCUGCGCAUAAAUCUGAGAAGCGUGAGUUUGUCAUAAUUGUUUAUCUAGACAUAGGAUAGGUUGUGUGAAAAUAUUACUGAUGUUUAACGUUAAAAAUGGACCAAAAGAUUAAUGCUAAACAACGUUUGACAUGUUUGAACGAACGUAAAUAGAUUAUUUACUAGGUUUUUUAGCUUUUCGGCGUGAUUUUACACCCCCCCCCACCACGUUUUGUGGGAGCAUAAUGAACGCUAACUACUUGGUGUUAUUUGGACAUAAAUUAUGAACUUUGUCAAAAGAAACCACAUUUGUUCUGGACCUGGGAUUCCUGGCAGUGCCUUCUGAUGGAGAUAAUCAAAGACAGCCGUUACAGAAUUACCCACCAACAAAGGACCAAGCAGCGGAAGAAGGCUGGCGAGGUAAGGGAGACCGGGAGGCACCCCCAAUAAAUUUUUAGGGGGGGGGGCACAAGGGGAGUUUUGCGGGACAAGAAUGGAGCCCCAGGC
rnacentral:lncRNA from 1 species